rnacentral:rRNA from 1 species
UACAUGCAAGUCGAGCGGACAGAUGGGAGCUUGCUCCCUGAUGUUAGCGGCGGACGGGUGAGUAACACGUGGGUAACCUGCCUGUAAGACUGGGAUAACUCCGGGAAACCGGGGCUAAUACCGGAUGGUUGUUUGAACCGCAUGGUUCAAACAUAAAAGGUGGCUUCGGCUACCACUUACAGAUGGACCCGCGGCGCAUUAGCUAGUUGGUGAGGUAACGGCUCACCAAGGCAACGAUGCGUAGCCGACCUGAGAGGGUGAUCGGCCACACUGGGACUGAGACACGGCCCAGACUCCUACGGGAGGCAGCAGUAGGGAAUCUUCCGCAAUGGACGAAAGUCUGACGGAGCAACGCCGCGUGAGUGAUGAAGGUUUUCGGAUCGUAAAGCUCUGUUGUUAGGGAAGAACAAGUACCGUUCGAAUAGGGCGGUACCUUGACGGUACCUAACCAGAAAGCCACGGCUAACUACGUGCCAGCAGCCGCGGUAAUACGUAGGUGGCAAGCGUUGUCCGGAAUUAUUGGGCGUAAAGGGCUCGCAGGCGGUUUCUUAAGUCUGAUGUGAAAGCCCCCGGCUCAACCGGGGAGGGUCAUUGGAAACUGGGGAACUUGAGUGCAGAAGAGGAGAGUGGAAUUCCACGUGUAGCGGUGAAAUGCGUAGAGAUGUGGAGGAACACCAGUGGCGAAGGCGACUCUCUGGUCUGUAACUGACGCUGAGGAGCGAAAGCGUGGUACGCC